UGCGUAGGCGGAAUAUUAAGUCAGUGGUGAAAUCCUGCGGCUCAACCGUAGAACUGCCAUUGAUACUGAUAUUCUUGAAUGUAGUUGAGGUAGGCGGAAUGUGUAAUGUAGCGGUGAAAUGCUUAGAUAUUACACAGAACACCGAUUGCGAAGGCAGCUUACUAAACUAUGAUUGACGCUGAGGAACGAAAGCGUGGGGAGCGAACAGGAUUAGAUACCCUGGUAGUCC
rnacentral:rRNA from 1 species